GACGAACGCUGGCGGCGUGCUUAACACAUGCAAGUCGAACGGAAAGGCCCUGCUUUUGUGGGGUGCUCGAGUGGCGAACGGGUGAGUAACACGUGAGUAACCUGCCCUUGACUUUGGGAUAACUUCAGGAAACUGGGGCUAAUACCGGAUAGGAGCUCCUGCUGCAUGGUGGGGGUUGGAAAGUUUCGGCGGUUGGGGAUGGACUCGCGGCUUAUCAGCUUGUUGGUGGGGUAGUGGCUUACCAAGGCUUUGACGGGUAGCCGGCCUGAGAGGGUGACCGGCCACAUUGGGACUGAGAUACGGCCCAGACUCCUACGGGAGGCAGCAGUGGGGAAUAUUGCACAAUGGGCGGAAGCCUGAUGCAGCAACGCCGCGUGCGGGAUGACGGCCUUCGGGUUGUAAACCGCUUUCGCCUGUGACGAAGCGUGAGUGACGGUAAUGGGUAAAGAAGCACCGGCUAACUACGUGCCAGCAGCCGCGGUGAUACGUAGGGUGCGAGCGUUGUCCGGAUUUAUUGGGCGUAAAGGGCUCGUAGGUGGUUGAUCGCGUCGGAAGUGUAAUCUUGGGGCUUAACCCUGAGCGUGCUUUCGAUACGGGUUGACUUGAGGAAGGUAGGGGAGAAUGGAAUUCCCGGUGGAGCGGUGGAAUGCGCAGAUAUCAGGAGGAGCACCAGUGGCGAAGGCGGUUCUCUGGGCCUUUCCUGACGCUGAGGAGCGAAAGCGUGGGGAGCGAACAGGCUUAGAUACCCUGGUAGUCCACGCUGUAAACGGUGGGUACUAGGUGUGGGGUCCAUUCCACGGGUUCCGUGCCGUAGCUAACGCUUUAAGUACCCCGCCUGGGGAGUACGGCCGCAAGGCUAAAACUCAAAGGAAUUGACGGGGCCCCGCACAAGCGGCGGAGCAUGCGGAUUAAUUCGAUGCAACGCGUAGAACCUUACCUGGGUUUGACAUGGAUCGGGAGCGCUCAGAGAUGGGUGUGCCUCUUUUGGGGUCGGUUCACAGGUGGUGCAUGGCUGUCGUCAGCUCGUGUCGUGAGAUGUUGGGUUAAGUCCCGCAACGAGCGCAACCCUUGUUCACUGUUGCCAGCACGUUAUGGUGGGGACUCAGUGGAGACCGCCGGGGUCAACUCGGAGGAAGGUGGGGAUGACGUCAAGUCAUCAUGCCCCUUAUGUCCAGGGCUUCACGCAUGCUACAAUGGCUGGUACAGAGAGUGGCGAGCCUGUGAGGGUGAGCGAAUCUCGGAAAGCCGGUCUCAGUUCGGAUUGGGGUCUGCAACUCGACCUCAUGAAGUCGGAGUCGCUAGUAAUCGCAGAUCAGCAACGCUGCGGUGAAUACGUUCCCGGG
rnacentral:rRNA from 1 species